AGGGGCACUGGAGCACGAGCUUAACAAAAGCCACGGGGCCUGAAUCGCGUGUGACGUAACGCUAGAGCUCCGCCUGCGGAAAAGUACCGACGGAGUGUGAGGAUACCAUGAUCUUUAGCAUCAACCAGCACAGACAGCCUGCUAGAGCUGGGCCCUGA
ensembl:lncRNA